rnacentral:rRNA from 1 species
AGAUUGGACGCUGGCGGCAUGCUUUACACAUGCAAGUCGAACGGUAACGCGGGGGCAACCCUGGCGACGAGUGGCGAACGGGUGAGUAAUACAUCGGAACAUGUCCUGGAGUGGGGGAUAGCUCGGCGAAAGCCGGAUUAAUACCGCAUACGCUCUGAGGAGGAAAGCGGGGGACUCGUAAGGGCCUCGCGCUGCGGGAGUGGCCGAUGUCGGAUUAGCUAGUUGGUGAGGUAAAGGCUCACCAAGGCGACGAUCCGUAGCUGGUCUGAGAGGAUGAUCAGCCACACUGGGACUGAGACACGGCCCAGACUCCUACGGGAGCAG